CGUUAAGAAGCUAACUCUAGCGUCAACCUUUUAAGUUGAAGAUUGGGAAGUUGAAUUUCUCCUUAAUGA
rnacentral:tRNA from 1 species